rnacentral:lncRNA from 1 species
AAGCCGUCGGCAUCUCCGAUGCUCUGCAGGGACCAUGCCUAACCGGCCCAAGCUUUGCUAUCUCUGCUUCCCUUUCGUGUCUUCUAGGCACAGCAGCCAGAAGAUCCUUUUAAAACCCAUGUCACAUCAUACUUGCCUCCUUCUUUAAAAUCCUCCAAGACUUUCCAUCGCAAUUAAAACGCAAGCUCAUUAUGCCCCCACCUGACCUCACUUCUGGGCCCCUGGCCCUCUUCCCACCAUUCUCUCCUCCCAGCACACUGGACACUUUGCUGUUCCUGGAUCCCAGCCAGCACCUCCUACCGCAGGGGCUUUGCUCUUGCUUUGCUCUCUACAUAUCCUUUCUUCCUCCAGAUAUCAUCUUGGCCCACGCCCCUGCUUCUUUCAGUUCUGUGAUUAGGGUAACAUCCUUGGAGAGGCCUCCCUGGUCACGCAAGCUUAAAUGGUAUUUCUGCUUCAUGCUCCUCCCCUUAACCUGUCUCACUAGACCUCACACCACUCACUACUCACCAACAUCAAAAUGCACGUGUGUGUGUGUGUGUGUGUGUGUGUGUGUUUCCCCCCCUCUCCAUUUGAAUGUAAACUCCAUGCAAUAAGGGACUCUGUUAUCUUCCCUGCUGACACUAGAACCAUGCCUGGCACUGCCAAACUCUCGGGAAAUAUUCCCUUAGUGAAUGGAUUGGCCCCCAGGACACCCAGUGCUGAAACAGAUGUAAGAACUAGAGUCUCAGGUUUGGUUCUCCAGCCAGAGGGGUCUGGAAAGUCCCAGAGACCAACAACAGAUGGGACCCAUCCUGCCUGCAGUUUCCAAAGCAGUUCAAGGAUGAGAAGAGACUUUGAUCUGUCAAAGACAGCCACCAAAGAGACCAGACUACCACUAGUGCAGGACACUUCAAGGAGAGUCGAUCAUGAGCUACAAGGCUACCACUGCUACAUUUCCUAUAGCUCACUUCUUUUAAGACAUAAGCAAACCUCGCAUAAGCUGAGACAGCAAAUCUAAAUCUCUAGCCAGACAGCAAGCAUCCCUGGGGAAGUGGAGGACAGGAUCACCCUCCAAGUCACACAACGGACUUGCCCUGGGCCAUUCUCCAAAGGCCCCACUCGGGCCUUCCUCUGAACUCUGGGCUCUCCGCAGCUUGAGGAGUUCCUGAACCACAAGAAUAUUCCAGCCCAAUGCUCAGUGCUUCCUUCUGAACACCCCGGGGACCUGGGCGUACCUCUGCCCAGAGGUACCAGCCUCCCUGCACCAGACUGGAGAAAACUACCCCUGGAGCAUGUGCACACCCAGACUGCAGGGACAGCCUCGCUGGGCUUCUGCAGCCAGGGCACCCACCCAUACACACACAAGAGUUCCAGGUUCCCAGUGGGGUGGGGUUGGAGAAGCAGCGGGGUGGCCAGGGCCCGGGGACAGCUCUCCCAGCCCCAUAUGUUCCAGCAUCAAAACU